AGUCUCGUGAGACUUUUUGCAUGUACCUUAUGAAUAAGGACCGGCUAAUUCCGUGCCAGCAGCCGCGGUAAUACGGAAGGUCCGGGCGUUAUCCGGAUUUAUUGGGUUUAAAGGGAGCGUAGGCCGGAGAUUAAGCGUGUUGUGAAAUGUAGACGCUCAACGUCUGCACUGCAGCGCGAACUGGUUUCCUUGAGUACGCACAAAGUGGGCGGAAUUCGUGGUGUAGCGGUGAAAUGCUUAGAUAUCACGAAGAACUCCGAUUGCGAAGGCAGCUCACUGGAGCGCAACUGACGCUGAAGCUCGAAAGUGCGGGUAUCGAACAGGAUUAGAUACCCUGGUAGUCCGCACGGUAAACGAUGGAUGCCCGCUGUUGGUCUGAAUAGGUCAGCGGCCAAGCGAAAGCAUUAAGCAUCCCACCUGGGGAGUACGCCGGCAACGGUGAAACUCAAAGGAAUUGACGGGGGCCCGCACAAGCGGAGGAACAUGUGGUUUAAUUCGAUGAUACGCGAGGAACCUUACCCGGGCUUGAAUUGCAGAGGAAGGAUUUGGAGACAAUGACGCCCUUCGGGGCCUCUGUGAAGGUGCUGCAUGGUUGUCGUCAGCUCGUGCCGUGAGGUGUCGGCUUAAGUGCCAUAACGAGCGCAACCCCUCUCCUUAGUUGCCAUCAGGUCAAGCUGGGCACUCUGGGGACACUGCCACCGUAAGGUGUGAGGAAGGUGGGGAUGACGUCAAAUCAGCACGGCCCUUACGUCCGGGGCUACACACGUGUUACAAUGGCAGGUACAGAGAGAUGGU
rnacentral:rRNA from 1 species